rnacentral:rRNA from 1 species
GACGAACGCUGGCGGCGUGCUUAACACAUGCAAGUCGAACGGAAAGGCCCUGCUUUUGUGGGGUGCUCGAGUGGCGAACGGGUGAGUAACACGUGAGUAACCUGCCCUUGACUUUGGGAUAACUUCAGGAAACUGGGGCUAAUACCGGAUAGGAGCUCCUGCUGCAUGGUGGGGGUUGGAAAGUUUCGGCGGUUGGGGAUGGACUCGCGGCUUAUCAGCUUGUUGGUGGGGUAGUGGCUUACCAAGGCUUUGACGGGUAGCCGGCCUGAGAGGGUGACCGGCCACAUUGAGACUGAGAGACGGCCCAGACUCCUACGGGAGGCAGCAGUGGGGAAUAUUGCAGAAUGGGAGGAAGCCUGAUGCAGCAACGCCGCGUGCGGGAUGACGGCCUUCGGGUUGUAAACCGCUUCCGCCUGUGACGAAGAGUGAGUGACGGUAAUGGGUAAAGAAGCACCGGCUAACUACGUG